rnacentral:rRNA from 1 species
CCAGACUCCUACGGGAGGCAGCAGUGGGGAAUAUUGCACAAUGGGGGAAACCCUGAUGCAGCAACGCCGCGUGAGUGAGGAAGUAUUUCGGUAUGUAAAGCUCUAUCAGCAGGGAAUAGAAAAGAAGGUACCUGAAAAAGAAGCCCCGGCUAACUACGUGCCAGCAGCCGCGGUAAUACGUAGGGGGCGAGCGUUAUCCGGACUCACUGGGUGUAAAGGGAGCGUAGACGGCCAUGCAAGCCAGGGGUGAAAGCCCGGGGCCCAACCCCGGGACUGCCCUUGGAACUGCAUGGCUGGAGUGCGGGAGGGGCAGGCGGAAUUCCUGGUGUAGCGGUGAAAUGCGUAGAUAUCAGGAGGAACACCGGCGGCGAAGGCGGCCUGCUGGACCGCGACUGACGUUGAGGCUCGAAAGCGUGGGGAGCGAACAGGAUUAGAUACCCCAGUAGA